rnacentral:rRNA from 1 species
CAGCGCCGCGGGAACACGUAGGGUGCAAGCGUUAAUCGGAAUUACUGGGCGUAAAGCGUGCGCAGGCGGUUAUAUAAGACAGAUGUGAAAUCCCCGGGCUCAACCUGGGAACUGCAUUUGUGACUGUAUAGCUAGAGUACGGCAGAGGGGGAUGGAAUUCCGCGUGUAGCAGUGAAAUGCGUAGAUAUGCGGAGGAACACCGAUGGCGAAGGCAAUCCCCUGGGCCUGUACUGACGCUCAUGCACGAAAGCGUGGGGAGCAAACAGGAUUAGAUACCCCCGUAGUCCCUGUCUCUUAUACA